rnacentral:lncRNA from 1 species
UGGCUGCCUGGUUUGGAUCUCUAAUUUGGAAUGAAGGAUCUGAUGGCCGAGUUCUAGCUUGUCUAAUGCUUGCUAAAAUCUCUCUUAAAAGCUUGGUUAUAGCUAAUUGGAAAAGGCUGAUAUUGUAGGUAGGGCAUAUUGCAAUAAGAUGCAUCCACGAAUGUAGGUCCUUGUGUUACUAAGGUAACCAUUGGUUGUGAUUUUUAUGAAAAAUUUAGUUAAGCUCCUCAGUCUGAAUUAUAGGUAUUAAAAUAUGGAUUAUUUUCUAAUCUGUAGACCAUUUA